AGAGUUUGAUCCUGGCUCAGAAGCCGAACGCUGGCGGCGUGCUUAACACAUGCAAGUCGAAGUGCGCGUCUGUAGCCAAUACAGAUGGCGCACGGCGCACGGGUGCGUAACACGUGGGUAAUCUGCCCUUCGAUGGGGAAUAACUCCGGGAAACCGAAGCUAAUUCCGCAUAACAUUCCUUGAAACUUCGGGGUUUAAGGAUUCAAAGCCGUAAGGCGUCGGAGGAGGAACCCGCGCACGAUUAGCUAGUUGGCAGGGUAACGGCCUACCAAGGCUUUGAUCGUUAGCUGGUCUGAGAGGAUGACCAGCCACACUGGGACUGAGACACGGCCCAGACUCCUACGGGAGGCAGCAGUGGGGAAUAUUGGACAAUGGGGGCAACCCUGAUCCAGCGACGCCGCGUGUGUGAAGAAGGCCUGCGGGUUGUAAAGCACUUUUAGU
rnacentral:rRNA from 1 species